CCCUUAGAUGUUCUGGGCCGCACGCGCGCUACACUGACGGAGGCAGCGAGCAUGUCCUUCGCCGAGAGGUGUGGGGAAUCUUGUGAGUCUCCGUCGUGCUGGGGAUAGAUGGUUGCAAUUGUCGAUCUUGAACGAGGAAUUCCCAGUAAGCGCGAGUCAUCAGCUCGCGUUGAUUACGUCCCUGCCCUUUGUACACACCGCCCGUCGCUACUACCGAUUGGAUGGUUUAGUGAGACCCUCGGAUCGGUCCCGACUCGGGGUGGGCUUCUGCCCCGGUCGUGGUUUCGCCGAGAAGACGGUCAAACUUGACUAUCUAGAGGAAGUAAAAGUCGUAACAA
rnacentral:rRNA from 1 species